GCUUGUAAGAAGUCCACACUGCAGUCCCAGCUGCAUGGGAGGCUGAGGCAAGGAGCAUGGUUUGGGCUCCUGAGUUCUGGGCUUUAGUGUGGUAUGCCAGUUGGGUGUCCACAUUAAGUUCAGUAUCAUUAUGGUGACCUCCCACGAACAGGUGAGGUUGCCUAAGGAGGGGUGAACCAGCUUAUAUUAGAAAUGGAGCAGGUCAAAACUCCUGUGUUGAGCAGUGGUGGGAUCACAUGUGUGAAUAGUCAGUGCACGCCAGCCUGGGCAACACAGAAAGAUCCCUGUUUCU
rnacentral:SRP_RNA from 1 species